AAUACCUCAGCCUUAUCAGGU
rnacentral:miRNA from 2 species